rnacentral:rRNA from 1 species
UACGGAGGAUGCAAGCGUUAUCCGGAUUUAUUGGGUUUAAAGGGUGCGCAGGUUGUUUGAUAAGUCAGUGGUGAAAGUCUGUCGCUUAACGGUAGGAUUGCCAUUGAUACUGUUAGACUUGAAUAUGGAUGAGGUAGGCGGAAUGUGUAGUGUAGCGGUGAAAUGCAUAGAUAUUACACAGAACACCGAUUGCGAAGGCAGCUUACUAAUCCAUCAUUGACGCUGAGGCACGAAAGCGUGGGUAGCAAACA